UACGUAGGUGACAAGCGUUGUCCGGAUUUACUGGGCGUAAAGAGCGCGCAGGCGGUCGUUCAAGUCGAGUGUGAAAGCCCCCGGCUCAACUGGGGAGGGUCACUCGAUACUGAUCGACUCGAAGGCAGGAGAGGGAAGUGGAAUUCCCGGUGUAGUGGUCGAAAUGCGUAGAUAUCCGGAGGAACCCAGAGGCGAAGGCGGCGUCCUGGCUCGCAUCUGACGCUCAGACACGACAGCAUGGGGAGCGAACGGG
rnacentral:rRNA from 1 species